AAUCUCCUCAUAUUUCCCUCUCAGUUUUAAUUUUUCAUUUUCAUCUUCCCACCAAAAUCUCACAGCCUCGUAAAAUGCCCUAAUUAAGAAUAUUUCCUCACGAUCCAUCUCUUCUCUCUGUGAUUUCUUCUUCUUCUCUAUCUUUGGCUCGUUACUUCCUAAUCACCAUUUUGUAUCGUAACACAUUGUUACAAGGGCUUCAAACCAGGACUAACAUGUCUUUGUUUCUAAGUUUAAUUCUAAAGGUUUAAAGAUGCACACCAACUGUUUGAUGUAAUGCUUCAACAAAGUUUUGCAGAUUACUGGCCUCUUUCGUGUGAUAUGGACUUACCCAGUAUGUUGGGAGGGUUGAGAAGGUUGAUAGGCGGUGAAAGAAGAGUGGGUGCUGGUGGUGAUCGGACAAUUCACGAUUGAGAAUUUGAUUCAGUAUGACGCAAUUAGUCCAUCCAUUGUAAUGGCUGGCUUACAUCCUAUUAAUUAUGCGUGUCUAUCUUAUCACGAGUAAAAAGGUGGUGGAGCAAUACAAGUUGGGAUAAGAAGUUACCCUUUGCUGGUGCAGAUUGGUGGGGAGUGUUUUAUGUGGACAUAGCUGGGUUCGAGGCGUGGACAUACUCAAGGUAUUGAGCCUAAACCACGACUCAAAUUUUGAUUUUGGGUAAGGUAUAUGAAAGCGGUCUGUUGAUAUUUUUGUUUGUGUUAGGUCCGGCUCUUGCUUCUAAGGCGUUUCGUUUUCAAUUUCGGUCAAUUACUCCUCCUGGUGUUAUAAAUGGAACGCAUGUAUUUUUUAUUCCUAUGUGCAAAAAAGUGACUCUUCUAUAAAUUGUGUUAAUCUAGAUGUUAUAGGUGGCACAAUGGGCAGACCGGGUAACAGGUCAAAAUGGGUUCCGAGUGGCAAGAGGUGUACAAUAAAAGCCGGUUUUAGGGCCGAAACCGGAACCGGUUAUGCUAGUUUGGGUUCCCAUCGUGAAAACCGGUUAAAAAGCCGAACAUAUUUUUUUAAAACCGGUUUUUUCUCGCACAACAAUAACCUGUUCGGUUAAAAACCGACCGGUUAGAAAAAAACCGAUUUGUAGACUUCUCUACGGGUGGCCUGCAAACACUUUUAUGUCUAUUUUCUUAAAAAGUGUAAUAACUAACUAACGCGUUUUUAAGUAAGAAUACAAUUUGAUACUAAUUAUUAUAAAUUGAAUAUAUAUUUCUUAUAUCAGUUAAAAAUUGUAUAAGCUCGUUUAAGCUCGGAUCGUUUCAAGCUCUUUUUCGAAUCGAUCUUGAGUAGCUCAGCUCAUUUACAUCUCUAUCGACCACCCAUUAUUCCUCACGAUCCUCAUAAUUUUCUGUUAACUUAAUAUAAUAGUGGACUGGGAAAAACAUCAUAUCCGUGACACUAAUAUGGUGAGGCGAUUCUAAUUGCUUUUGAAGAAUGCCAAGCUUCAUCAGCUCAUUAUAGAACAUAAAAACAAAUAUUUAUGUGUAUGCUCCUCAACAGGAGUGGCUUUAUUUUCACUUGAAAGUUUAUCCCUUUUUACUCUUAGCUUGCCUUUUCUUCUCGGUUUUCUUUUUGUUCACUUUUUCUGUUUUGCAGAUUGAGCCAAUCCCAAGCAGAAAUCUGCCUCCUAGGUUUGAACCAAAUACUUCUCGCAGUGUGAGCGGUUUACAUAUGAUUUUUUAGUUUGUUAUUAUGCCUUAGUAUGUCCCUGGUAACCAAGUAAGUGUUUUUAUAAUUUGCUAUAUCUUACCAAUUUGUUUUUCUCGUCCCCCAAUACACACAGUACUGAGGUUUAUAGUUGUGAUAUGCAAAUGUGUUAAAUGUAGGAUGGCUCUAUGUUUUAUGUCUACUGGAAAUUGUGUAUUAUUCUGUAGCUAAAUGUGUUUUCUUUUUAAUUUCUACUUUUAUUUUUGAGAAAAUGCUGGUACGUUGGGAACAUCCAUAUACAGAUGACGGGACAAUUUCUUCAGGAGGUUUUUGCAAGCUAAAGUUGUGAAAAGCAGUCGUUUGAAACUCAUUAAGUGAAUAAAGAGGAUCAUGAAAGAAAAAAAGUUGACCUUGAAGCUAUACGACAGGAUCUUGAUAUCCGGCGACAAGACUUGGAAGAUCUGUGUGGAAUGUUACGAAACAACUACAAGUUGAAGAUCAAGAUGUGUAGAAUGUUUUAGUUACUCUUUAUUAUUGUAAUUGACACUUUGGUAUUGACUUUUUUGUUAUUUGAGUUUGUAAAAGUAUGUUAAGGUAGGUACACUAUUUGACUAGCAAUGAUAUUUGUGUUAAUAUUG